UCCCUGGUGGUCCAGUGGUUAGGACUCUGUGCUUCCAAUGCAGGGGGCAUGGGUUUGAUCCCUGGUCAGGGAA
rnacentral:tRNA from 1 species